GGGCCCGCACAAGCGGAGGAACAUGUGGUUUAAUUCGAUGAUACGCGAGGAACCUUACCUGGGAAUGAACGCAUGUUGCAUAGUUUAGAGAUAAACUUUUCUUACGGGACUACAUGCGAGGUGCUGCAUGGUUGUCGUCCAGCUCGUGCCGUGAGGUGUCGGCUUAAGUGCCAUAACGAGCGCAACCCUCAUUGCCAGUUACCAACGGGUCAAGCCGGGGACUCUGGCGAAACUGCCGGCGUAAGCUGAGAGGAAGGUGGGGAUGACGUCAAAUCAGCACGGCCCUUAUAUCCAGGGCUACACACGUGUUACAAUGGUCGGUACAAAGGGCAGCUACCUGGUGACAGGAUGCUAAUCUCGAAAGCCGAUCUCAGUUCGGAUUGGAGUCUGCAACCCGACUCCAUGAAGUUGGAUUCGCUAGUAAUCGCGCAUCAGCCAUGGCG
rnacentral:rRNA from 1 species